UACAGAGGGUGCAAGCGUUAAUCGGAAUUACUGGGCGUAAAGGGUGUGUAGGUGGUAAUGUAAGUUAGGUGUGAAAUCCUCGGGCUUAACCUGAGAAUUGCGCUUAAUACUGCAUUUCUAGAGUACUGCAGAGGGCAGUGGAAUUUCCAGUGUAGCGGUGAAAUGCGUAGAUAUUGGAAGGAACACCAGUGGCGAAGGCGACUGCCUGGAUAGAUACUGACACUGAGACACGAAAGCGUGGGUAGCAAAC
rnacentral:rRNA from 1 species